GAUAAACGCUAGCGGGAGGCCUAACACAUGCAAGCCGAGCGGUAUUUGUUCUUCGGAACAGAGAGAGCGGCGCACGGGUGCGGAACACGUGUGCAACCUGCCUUUAUCUGGGGGAUAGCCUUUCGAAAGGAAGAUUAAUACCCCAUAAUAUAUUGAGUGGCAUCACUUGAUAUUGAAAACUCCGGUGGAUAGAGAUGGGCACGCGCAAGAUUAGAUAGUUGGUGAGGUAACGGCUCACCAAGUCAAUGAUCUUUAGGGGGCCUGAGAGGGUGAUCCCCCACACUGGUACUGAGACACGGACCAGACUCCUACGGGAGGCAGCAGUGAGGAAUAUUGGACAAUGGGUUAGCGCCUGAUCCAGCCAUCCCGCGUGAAGGACGACGGCCCUAUGGGUUGUAAACUUCUUUUGUAUAGGGAUAAACCUACUCUCGUGAGAGUAGCUGAAGGUACUAUACGAAUAAGCACCGGCUAACUCCGUG
rnacentral:rRNA from 1 species